rnacentral:rRNA from 1 species
CGAAGGGUGCUAGCGUUGUUCGGAAUCACUGGGCGUAAAGCGCGCGUAGGCGGCGAUACAAGUCAGAGGUGAAAGCCCACAGCUUAACUGUGGAACUGCCUUUGAAACUGUAUUGCUUGAGUGUCGGAGGGGAUAGCGGAAUUGCUAAUGUAGAGGUGAAAUUCGUAGAUAUUAGCAGGAACACCGGUGGCGAAGGCGGCUAUCUGGACGACAACUGACGCUGAGGCGCGAAAGCGUGGGGAUCAAACAGAAUUAGAUACCCUGGUAGUCCACGCUGUAAACGAUGGGUGCUAGCCGUUGGGGGGAUACCUCUCAGUGGCGCAGCUAACGCGUUAAGCACCCCGCCUGGGGAGUACGGUCGCAAGAUUA